rnacentral:rRNA from 1 species
UGUUGAGUUGAAGCUCCGAUUAGGUGAGGGCGAAACCGCGAAUGGCUCAUUAAAUCAGUCAGAAUCUACUUGGCGGUUAGAGGUUAUAUGGAUAACUGUGGUAAUUCUAGAGCUAAUACAUGCCGAGGAGGGCGACUCUCGUCAAGAGAGAAGUCCCGCGUUUAUUAGACUAAGACCAAUGACGUGCAAACGUCUAACUUUAUGGUGACUCUGAGUAAAUAACGGCCUAACAGCCGUGCUGCCGAUCGUGACUUCAAUGUCGCGACGCGCCAAUCGAGUGUCUGCUCUAUCAACUGUGGAUGGUAGGAUAAUGGCCUACCAUGGUGAUGACGGGUAACGGGGAGUUAGGGCUCGACUCCGGAGAACAAGCCUGAGAAACGGCUAGUAGGACUAAGGUCUGCAGCAGGCGCGAAACUUACACAAUGCUAGAAAAGCGAUGUAGUGAAGAAAAAUAACGAUGUGCUUGUGUUUAAAGACACUAGCACAAUUGGAAUGAGACGACUAUAAAUGAGUUAGUCGAGUAACAAAUGGAGGGCAAGUCUGGUGCCAGCAGCCGCGGUAAUUCCAGCUCCAUUAGCAUACAUUAAAGUUGUUGCGGUUAAAAAGCUCGUAGUUGAAUGUAGGGUGGUUCUUGGGUUGGUCCGUUCCGUUAAGGACACCUUCGGGUGUCUGGUUCAGAUUACAACCCGAGGGCCACAGUUUCGUCACUUAAUCGAGUGCGAAGCAGGGCUAUAGCGAGCUCCUUUCGGGGAGCCGAGAUAGCCAAGUUUACCUUGAGAAAAUUAGAGUGCUCAGAGCAGGCAGCUGGGAUGUAAAAGUCCCAUUAUGCUUGAAUAAUGUUGCAUGGAAUAAUAGAAUACGGCCUCGGUUCUAUUCUGUUGGUCUUAUAGAACAACAAACAAGUGGUACUUGUGGAGCUGAUUCGGUUGUCUGAGGCCCUAAAAAAACCCCAGUACCCGGUCGUCAAAGCUACCCAACCACUGAGGCAAUGGUUAAAAGAAAUAGUCGCGGCGGCAUCAGUACUGCAUCGUGAGAGGUGAAAUUCUUAGACCGAUGCAAGACUAACUGAAGCGAAAGCGUUUGCCGAGGAUAUUUUCAUUAAUCAAGAACGAAAGUUAGAGGUUCGAAGGCGAUCAGAUACCGCCCUAGUUCUAACCAUAAACGUUGCCAACUAGCAAUUGGGUUGCGGUUCCAAUGGGGUUCAAGCGGGUGUAACAGCUCGUUUAACCCAGUUACGACCCACCCAGCGGCUCUCGUAGGGAAACCAAAGUGUUUGGGUUCCGGGGGAAGUAUGAUUGCAAAGUUGAAACUUAAAGGAAUUGACGGAAGGGCACCACCAGGAGUGGAGCCUGCGGCUUAAUUUGACUCAACACGGGGAAACUUACUAGAUUAGAACUCUGGAAUGAUUGACAGAUUGAUAGCUCUUUCUUGAUUCAGAGGAUGGUGGUGCAUGGCCGUUCUUGAUUCGUAUUCCGAAACGUCUGCUUAAUUGCGAUAACGAGUGAGACCUCUCCCAGCUAACUAGUGCAAGCGGGCUCUUGUGGACAAAAUGUGGGCUGGCUUUGGGAAGCUGACUUCGGUCAGUGGACCUGCCUCACCCAUACUACGUGCUCCCGCUGCGACUUCUUAGAGGGAUAAACGGUGUUUUAGCCGUAAGAAACGAGGCAAUAACAGGUCUGUGAUGCCCUUAGAUACUCUAGGCCGCACGCGUGCUACAAUGGCGUGUGCAGAGAGCUUGUUCGAGGCACGUCCGGUGGCAAGCCAGUCGCUUUGUGCUAGUGUGGGGCAACUCGCGCUGGUACGGGUGGCAGGGCGCCCCGGUAACGGGCCGAGAGAAACCGUCGCCGAGAGGCGACGGCAAUCAAAAAUACACGCCGUGAUUUGGGAUUGGGGAUUGCAAUUGUUGCCCAUGAACGAGGAAUUCCCAGUAAGCGCAAUUCAUCAUAUUGCGUUGAUUACGUCCCUGCCCUUUGUACACACCGCCCGUCGCUACUACCGAUUGGAAGUUUUAGUGAGGCAUUUGGACCUGCGGGCAAGGCGAGGCAACUCAUCUAGCCUGCGGGGAAGUCUGUCGAACUCAAAUUUCUAGAGGAAGUAAAAGUCGUAACAAGGUUUCCGU